ACCGUCAGCGGAGCUGGCUUCGCGGAGGUUCGUGAUGUAGCGGCGACCCCGGUCUCGCUUCACUCGUCCUUCGCGCAUGUCCGGCGACGUCGGCGUGCACUUCUCCCCUAGUAGGACGUCGCGACCCGUUGGGUGUCGGCUUACGGCCCGGGGUGCAGCCCGUCGCGCCGCUUCGGCGCGCGCGACGAACCCCCGGACGCCUGGCCGGCUGCUCGACGGUACGCACACGGUAUCUGGCCGCCCUCGAACUGGCGUCGGGCCCGCCGCAAGAGAGUCAGGUGUGAAAGCCGGUGGUAAGUCGGACCUGGUGCCGUCCCCGGACCUGUCGCUCUGUUUGCAGGUGUGGACCUCCGACGGGCUUGAACCAAUGAUACCGGUCGGCGACGCUAUUGCUUUGGGUACUCUCAGGACCCGUCUUGAAACACGGACCAAGGAGUCUAACAUGUACGCGAGUCAUUGGGACCGAAAAACCUAAAGGCGAAAUGAAAGUGAAGGUCGGCCUCGCGCCGACCGAGGGAGGAUGGGCCGCGUCACGAUGCGGCUCCGCACUCCCGGGGCGCCUCGUUCUCAUUGCGAGAUGAGGCGCACCCAGAGCGUACACGUUGGGACCCGAAAGAUGGUGAACUAUGCCUGGUCAGGACGAAGUCAGGGGAAACCCUGAUGGAGGUCCGUAGCGAUUCUG
rnacentral:rRNA from 1 species